AGUGGGGAAUUUUGCGCAAUGGGCGAAAGCCUGACGCAGCAACGCCGCGUGGACGAAGAAGCUCUGCGGAGUGUAAAGUCCUGUCGUAGGGGAAGAACAGCUCCUAUAUUAACACUAUGGGAGUUUGACGGUACCCUGCAAGAAAGCCCCGGCUAACUUCGUGCCAGCAGCCGCGGUAAUACGAGGGGGGCAAGCGUUGUCCGGAAUCAUUGGGCGUAAAGAGCUCGUAGGCGGAUUAAUCAGUCGAGAUUGAAAGACCCCGACUCAAUCGGGGAACCGGUCUCGAUACUGUUAAUCUUGAGUGAGGUAGAGGUAAGCGGAAUUCCUGGUGUAGCGGUGAAAUGCGUAGAUAUCAGGAGGAACACCAAAGGCGAAGGCAGCUUACUGGGCCUAUACUGACGCUGAGGAGCGAAAGCGUGGGGAGCAAACAGGAUUAGAGACCCUGGUAGUCCACGCCGUAAACGAUGAGUACUUGGUGGUGGGGGAUUCGACCCCUUCACUGCCGGAGCU
rnacentral:rRNA from 1 species